rnacentral:lncRNA from 1 species
CUGUAUCGAUUUCAAUGUCCGUCUAUAGGCAAAAAUUGACUUGCAAUAAAAAAUACGGGGUUUUAGCGAGUUGAUCGAUUUGAAUGUCCGUUUAUGGGCAGAAAUCUAUUUGCAACUAAUUUUCCCGAGAAAACGUGAAAUAAAGAAAGGAGUGAAGUAGCCCAUGCGUAUAUGGGAUCCGAACGGUUAAGAGUUAUGGCUUUUCGUUGAGGACUUACCCCUUAAACUUAAGGAGCAUUCGACUGAGAUUAGAUUAGAUUAGUGGGUAGCACUUGUUGAAUUGAAUAAGAUGUUCUUGCUCAGAAUUAGGGAAGGUGGGAUCCUAUCUUUAGGAAAAGAAAGGCCUAACGAAAGCUAGCACUCUUUUCAAGCCUAUAGCCUAUAUAUGAAUUAUUCUCAGCCAUCCAUAUGGGAGUUCCCCGCCAGCCUGUGGGAGUGCCACUAUCAAUAGGAAACAGACUUCUUUCCUCCUUAUUCUAUCAAACAAGCAAUUAAAUACCUUAGGAUAUCUCAUAUUUUACAUUAUUAAUCUAGCAUUGGACUCUUACCUGGACUAAGAACACUUCUAGUUCUAACAAUACGUUUCAUAACGAGCUAAACGUGCUACCAAAUGAAAUGGUCGAAGGUCUUUUCAGUUCUCCUUCCAAUUGCUGCAGUACUAAGGCCAGUUCUUACAGUUGGAGUCCUAUCCUAAUAGAAUCCCUUACCAGCCGAGCUUCCCACUAUAAUAAGCGAGUUGGAGAAAAAAGGUAAACCUAUCCAAUAGCAGUCCUAUGGUAAGCAAGCUCAGGUUCAGUAUACAUAGGAUAUGCUUUUUCCUAUCUCUGCUCUGGUUCAGAACCCUAUAACUAACUAGGAUUCCCUGGUAGAGCCAUAGAUAAAGAUUCUUUUGAUGUCUUCUCCGCUUGAGACGGAAAGACGGCUGCUCUGUGAACAACCCUAGUUGCUGGUCCUGUUCCUGCUGCUAACUGCCACCUCUGCUCCAAUACAUAAAGCAGCUGAAGCUAUUGAUUGUAGCAGCUCCGUCCCAUUCAUCACUGCUUUAUGUUAAAAAGAAAAGAGCUGCUCCUCUCCGAUCUAAGCCCUCUCUCUAGUCAGAAAUAGCGUCAGUAAGUUAAUCAGGAUAGAUCGACAGGCCAGCAAAGGCCUUCUACCGCAGCGGGCCCACAGGCCUAUGCCAAUCUCUUAGGGCAGGUUCUCUUUCAUCCGUCUUUCCUAGGUGCGCAUCUCCAUCUACUAAAAGUAAGGGUGGUUACCAUAGAUAGAUUGGGUCAUUCGUAACCGAUGCUUUAGCAUAAACUACAGCUCUUUCAUCAACUACAGCAAUAUCCGAUGUAGCACAUUCUCCCUCUUUCGCAUAUCCGAUGCUUUGCAAGCAACCUUGGUGUCAGCAUCGUCACUUGAGUCAUCCUAGAACAACCCUGCCUAUUCAAAAGAAGUACCUCACCUCACUUACGAAGAAGUAGUGGGAGCUGGGCUCUCGAUUCAGUUGGAUAGCCAGUCUACCUAGGUAAGAGUUACGUCGACCCUGCAGGGUAUCCGAGAGGGGCACAAUGCAGGCUGGAGAUCAUCUGGUAAGGAGAAUCCCCAGGCUUUAGAUAGUUUAGAGGGACUAGGCAAUGAGCCCGGAUAAUCGAAUGGAACUCUUCUUUCUUUCAGAACCUUUCUAAGGUCAUAUAUGAAUAAAGGUUAUAUAUAAACGAUCUGACAGGACUCAAUGGAGUUGCUUUUAAAGCGAGCGAGUAGUCUUUGCCAAAGUUAGGGGCUGUCAGGACUUAGAUAGAAAUUUCACAAUGAGAGAAGUGUCAGAGUUCGAAUAGAAGGUAAUGGAGUGAAGUACGUAGCCCUUAGGAAAGUGCACGAGAAAAGGAAAAAGAGUUGUGAGUUUGACUUUCUCUUUUACCACAAUAAGCCGUGUAGUUACCGGAUCGGGACAAAGAGUCGGUUUAGUCGGAGAUAAACAGAGUCGGGUCGAUGAACAGAGCCGAUAUCGACACCGAAAUAUAUCACUGUCUUUGACGCUUCUAGGCAAUAUGCCAUCGAUUACCUCAAAACUACUUUGAAAUUCAGCAUGACAUAGGUACCUACUUCGAAUCUUCCUUGAGAGCUGGGAUAAGUACGGAAUUUCACUCUGGUGGAAUCGCUUCUAUCCUUAGCCCGGUACCGAGGGAGGGCUUUCCGAGACCAAUGCUAUCAAGAAGUCACUAGACUGACUAUUAUUGCAUCGAGAAAGAGUGAAAAGAUCUCCCCUCAAGAACUUCUGUUAUUCUUAUUCUUUUUUGCCGCUAGCCCUUCCUCUCUUUCAACGCUUGGCCACUCGAUUGCUAUUGUCGCCUUGGAGCCCGCCCUUGGCUGGUUUCACCCCUUCUCUAGUAGCCUUGCCUGCAACCUUGAGAAAUUCUUGUGUGACUUAUGAAUGAAAGGAAAUUCCUUGCUUUAGAAAAGAGAAGAGCGCCGCAACAGCUAAUUCAUCUAAAUCAAUGGCACGUGAGGUGAGGGA